CAAGACCUUGCGCUUUUGGAGCGGCCGAUGUCUGAUUAGCUAGUUGGUGAGGUAAAGGCUUACCAAGGCGUCGAUCAGUAGCUGGUCUGAGAGGACGACCAGCCACACUGGGACUGAGACACGGCCCAGACUCCUACGGGAGGCAGCAGUGGGGAAUUUUGGACAAUGGGGGAAACCCUGAUCCAGCCAUGCCGCGUGAGUGAAGAAGGCCUUCGGGUUGUAAAGCUCUUUCAGCCGGAACGAAACGGUCACGGUUAAUACCUGUGACUACUGACGGUACCGGAAGAAGAAGCACCGGCUAACUACGUGCCAGCAGCCGCGGUAAUACGUAGGGUGCAAGCGUUAAUCGGAAUUACUGGGCGUAAAGCGUGCGCAGGCGGUUUUGUAAGUCAGAUGUGAAAUCCCCGGGCUUAACCUGGGAACU
rnacentral:rRNA from 1 species